AGAGUUUGAUCCUGGCUCAGGACGAACGCUGGCGGCGCGCCUAACACAUGCAAGUCGAACGAGCGAGAGAGAGCUUGCUUUCUCGAGCGAGUGGCGAACGGGUGAGUAACGCGUGAGGAACCUGCCUCAAAGAGGGGGACAACAGUUGGAAACGACUGCUAAUACCGCAUAAGCCCACGGUGCCGCAUGGCACAGAGGGAAAAGGAGCAAUCCGCUUUGAGAUGGCCUCGCGUCCGAUUAGCUAGUUGGUGAGGUAACGGCCCACCAAGGCGACGAUCGGUAGCCGGACUGAGAGGUUGAACGGCCACAUUGGGACUGAGACACGGCCCAGACUCCUACGGGAGGCAGCAGUGGGGAAUAUUGCACAAUGGGGGAAACCCUGAUGCAGCGACGCCGCGUGGAGGAAGAAGGUCUUCGGAUUGUAAACUCCUGUUGUUGAGGAAGAUAAUGACGGUACUCAACAAGGAAGUGACGGCUAACUACGUGCCAGCAGCCGCGGUAAAACGUAGGUCACAAGCGUUGUCCGGAAUUACUGGGUGUAAAGGGAGCGCAGGCGGGAAGACAAGUUGGAAGUGAAAUCUAUGGGCUCAACCCAUAAACUGCUUUCAAAACUGUUUUUCUUGAGUAGUGCAGAGGUAGGCGGAAUUCCCGGUGUAGCGGUGGAAUGCGUAGAUAUCGGGAGGAACACCAGUGGCGAAGGCGGCCUACUGGGCACCAACUGACGCUGAGGCUCGAAAGUGUGGGUAGCAAACAGGAUUAGAUACCCUGGUAGUCCACACCGUAAACGAUGAUUACUAGGUGUUGGAGGAUUGACCCCUUCAGUGCCGCAGUUAACACAAUAAGUAAUCCACCUGGGGAGUACGACCGCAAGGUUGAAACUCAAAGGAAUUGACGGGGGCCCGCACAAGCAGUGGAGUAU
rnacentral:rRNA from 1 species